UUUCUACUCCCUCCGUCCGAAAAUACUUGUCAUCAAAAUGGAUAAAAAGAGAUGUAUCUAAAACUAAAAUACGUCUAGAUACGUUUCCUUUUAUCCAUUUUGAUGACAAGUAUUUCUGGACGGAGGGAGUACUUG
rnacentral:pre_miRNA from 1 species